GAGGCAUGCGAGGGGUGUCUAGUGGCUUUUUACACAAAAGUCGUGCAACGCCGGAGUGUGUCCUCUCACAUAAAAUCCAUCUCACCCUUUUGUGCCCCACCCGCGUGGGCCCCCUUCGGGAUCAAACCGAUCCGGGAGGGGGGCUUGCGUUUUCAUACAAACCCCCUUUUUAAAAAGUGUAGAAUGACCCCAUUUUUGUGGAUAACACGCAAUCAAUACAACUUUCAACAACGGAUCUCUUGGCUCUCGCAUCGAUGAAGAACGCACCGAAAUGCGAUACGUAAUGSGAAUUGCAGAAUUCAGUGAAUCAUCGAAUCUUUGAACGCCCCUUCCGCCCCUUGGUAUUCCGAGGGGACACCCGUUUGAGUGUCGUGAAAAUCUCAACCUCCUCGGUUUCUUCUGGACACCGAAGGAGGCUUGGACUUUGGAGGSCUUUGGUGGGAUCUCGCCAGCUCCUCUCAAAUGAAUUAGCGGGGUGCCUCUUUGGCCGAUCCUCGACAUGUGAUAAGAUGUUUCCAUGUCUUGGUUUUUGGCUCUGUUGCCUUUGGGACCCGCUUCUAACCGUCUCAUCGAGACAAUGUUUGAAGCUCGGCAUCCCCUUCUCGGGAAAGACUCUCGAGAGCUAUGGAACCCUUGGA
rnacentral:rRNA from 1 species